rnacentral:rRNA from 1 species
GGAUGAGUGCACCCUGCUGUUGCAGCGUCUUCAGUGUGAUAAGCAUCUUCACUGAUUCAAGUUCCUUCCGGACACGUGUGCAUUGUGGGCUCUGUGCUGGCAAACCGUCUUYGGACAAUCUUGACAAUUUGACCUCAGAUCGGGUGGGACUACCCGCUGAACUUAAGCAUAUCAAUAAGCGGAGGAAAAGAAACUAACAAGGAUUCCCCUAGUAACGGCGAGUGAAGAGGGAAAAGCUCAAAUUUUGAAUCUGGUGUCUUCGGCGCCCGAGUUGUAAUCUAGAGAAGUGUUUUCUGCCUCGGACCACACAUAAAUUCCCUGGAAUGGGGUGUCAUAGAGGGUGAGAAUCCCGUUUGUGGUGUGGACUACCUUGGCUCUGUGAUACACUCUCAACGAGUCGAGUUGUUUGGGAAUGCAGCUCAAAAUGGGUGGUAAAUUCCAUCUAAAGCUAAAUAUUGGCGAGAGACCGAUAGCGAACAAGUACCGUGAGGGAAAGAUGAAAAGCACUUUGGAAAGAGAGUGAAACAGUACGUGAAAUUGUUGAAAGGGAAGCGUUUGAAGUCAGUCACAUUGGUCGGAAUUCAGCCUGGCUUCUGCCUGGUGCACUUUCUGGCAAAUGGGUCAGCGUCAAUUUUGACCGAGAGAGAAAGACUUGAGGAAUGUGGCUGUCUUCGGGCAGUGUUAUAGCCUCUUGUUGUAUGU